GAUGAACGCUAGCGGCAGGCCUAAUACAUGCAAGUCGAACGGUCCGCUUCGGCGGAUAGUGGCGCACGGGUGCGUAACACGUAUGCAACCUACCUUACAUUGGGGGAUAGCCUUUCGAAAGGGAGAUUAAUACCGCAUAAGACAGUAGCUGGGCAUCCAGUAGCUGUUAAAGAUUUAUCGAUGUAAGCUGGGCAUGCGUCCAAUUAGUUAGUUGGGGAGGUAACGGCUCACCAAGACGAUGAUUGGUAGGGGAACUGAGAGGUCAAUCCCCCACACUGGCACUGAGAUACGGGCCAGACUCCUACGGGAGGCAGCAGUAGGGAAUAUUGGGCAAUGGACGCAAGUCUGACCCAGCCAUGCCGCGUGCAGGAAGAAGGCGUUCUGCGUUGUAAACUGCUUUUAUAUAGGAAGAAACGACCCUUGCGAGGGGCAUUGACGGUAUUAUAUGAAUAAGCACCGGCUAACUCCGUGCCAGCCGCCGCUGUAAUAC
rnacentral:rRNA from 1 species